AGUGAACGCUGGCGGUAGGCCUAACACAUGCAAGUCGAACGGCAGCACAGUAAGAGCUUGCUCUUACGGGUGGCGAGUGGCGGACGGGUGAGGAAUACAUCGGAAUCUACUUUUUCGUGGGGGUUAACGUAGGGAAACUUACGCUAAUACCGCAUACGACCUACGGGUGAAAGCAGGGGAUCUUCGGACCUUGCGCGAUUGAAUGGGCCGAUGUCGGAUUAGCUAGUUGGCGGGGUAAAGGCCCACCAAGGCGACGAUCCGUAGCUGGUCUGAGAGGAUGAUCAGCCACACUGGAACUGAGACACGGUCCAGACUCCUACGGGAGGCAGCAGUGGGGAAUAUUGGACAAUGGGCGCAAGCCUGAUCCAGCCAUACCGCGUGGGUGAAGAAGGCCUUCGGGUUGUAAAGCCCUUUUGUUGGGAAAGAAAAGCAGCAGGUUAAUACCCCGCUGUUCUGACGGUACCCAAAGAAUAAGCACCGGCUAACUUCGUG
rnacentral:rRNA from 1 species